rnacentral:rRNA from 1 species
UCUGGCUCAGGACGAACGCUGGCGGCGUGCCUAAUACAUGCAAGUCGAGCGAGCUUGCCUAGAUGAUUUUAGUGCUUGCACUAAAUGAAACUAGAUACAAGCGAGCGGCGGACGGGUGAGUAACACGUGGGUAACCUGCCCAAGAGACUGGGAUAACACCUGGAAACAGAUGCUAAUACCGGAUAACAACACUAGACGCAUGUCUAGAGUUCGAAAGAUGGUUCUGCUAUCACUCUUGGAUGGACCUGCGGUGCAUUAGCUAGUUGGUAAGGUAACGGCUUACCAAGGCAAUGAUGCAUAGCCGAGUUGAGAGACUGAUCGGCCACAUUGGGACUGAGACACGGCCCAAACUCCUACGGGAGGCAGCAGUAGGGAAUCUUCCACAAUGGACGAAAGUCUGAUGGAGCAGCGCCGCGUGAGUGAAGAAGGGUUUCGGCUCGUAAAGCUCUGUUGGUAGUGAAGAAAGAUAGAGGUAGUAACUGGCCUUUAUUUGACGGUAAUUACUUAGAAAGUCACGGCUAACUACGUGCCAGCAGCCGCGGUAAUACGUAGGUGGCAAGCGUUGUCCGGAUUUAUUGGGCGUAAAGCGAGUGCAGGCGGUUCAAUAAGUCUGAUGUGAAAGCCUUCGGCUCAACCGGAGAAUUGCAUCAGAAACUGUUGAACUUGAGUGCAGAAGAGGAGAGUGGAACUCCAUGUGUAGCGGUGGAAUGCGUAGAUAUAUGGAAGAACACCAGUGGCGAAGGCGGCUCUCUGGUCUGCAACUGACGCUGAGGCUCGAAAGCAUGGGUAGCGAACAGGAUUAGAUACCCUGGUAGUCCAUGCCGUAAACGAUGAGUGCUAAGUGUCGGGAGGUUUCCGCCUCUCAGUGCUGCAGCUAACGCAUUAAGCACUCCGCCUGGGGAGUACGACCGCAAGGUUGCAACUCAAAGGAAUUGACGGA